rnacentral:piRNA from 1 species
UGUGAAGGGUGCACUCUGCUCUUUAAGU